rnacentral:rRNA from 1 species
GAUGGUGGUUUUUGCGGUAAGGUCACACCUGUUCCCAUUCCGAACACAGUAGUUAAGCUUACCUGCGUCGAUGGUACUGCAUUGGCAACGAUGUGGGAGAGUAGAUCACCGCCAUCU